AUGAACGCUAGCUACAGGCUUAACACAUGCAAGUCGAGGGGCAGCAUGAACUUAGCUUGCUAAGUUUGAUGGCGACCGGCGCACGGGUGAGUAACACGUAUCCAACCUGCCGAUGACUCGGGGAUAGCCUUUCGAAAGAAAGAUUAAUACCCGAUGGCAUAGUUCUUCCGCAUGGUAGAACUAUUAAAGAAUUUCGGUCAUCGAUGGGGAUGCGUUCCAUUAGGUUGUUGGCGGGGUAACGGCCCACCAAGCCUUCGAUGGAUAGGGGUUCUGAGAGGAAGGUCCCCCACAUUGGAACUGAGACACGGUCCAAACUCCUACGGGAGGCAGCAGUGAGGAAUAUUGGUCAAUGGACGAGAGUCUGAACCAGCCAAGUAGCGUGAAGGAUGACUGCCCUAUGGGUUGUAAACUUCUUUUAUACGGGAAUAAAGUGAGGCACGUGUGCCUUUUUGUAUGUACCGUAUGAAUAAGGAUCGGCUAACUCCGUGCCAGCAGCCGCGGUAAUACGGAGGAUCCGAGCGUUAUCCGGAUUUAUUGGGUUUAAAGGGAGCGUAGGCGGACGCUUAAGUCAGUUGUGAAAGUUUGCGGCUCAACCGUAAAAUUGCAGUUGAUACUGGGUGUCUUGAGUACAGUAGAGGCAGGCGGAAUUCGUGGUGUAGCGGUGAAAUGCUUAGAUAUCACGAAGAACUCCGAUUGCGAAGGCAGCCUGCUGGACUGUAACUGACGCUGAUGCUCGAAAGUGUGGGUAUCAAACAGGAUUAGAUACCCUGGUAGUCCACACAGUAAACGAUGAAUACUCGCUGUUUGCGAUAUACAGUAAGCGGCCAAGCGAAAGCGUUAAGUAUUCCACCUGGGGAGUACGCCGGCAACGGUGAAACUCAAAGGAAUUGACGGGGGCCCGCACAAGCAGUGGAGUAUGUGGUUUAAUUCGAAGCAACGCGAAGAACCUUACCAGGGCUUGACAUAUACAGGAAUACUUAAGAGAUUAAGUAGCUCUUCGGAGUCUGUAUACAGGUGGUGCAUGGUUGUCGUCAGCUCGUGCCGUGAGGUGUCGGCUUAAGUGCCAUAACGAGCGCAACCCUUAUCGAUAGUUACCAUCAGGUGAUGCUGGGGACUCUGUCGAGACUGCCGUCGUAAGAUGUGAGGAAGGUGGGGAUGACGUCAAAUCAGCACGGCCCUUACGUCCGGGGCUACACACGUGUUACAAUGGGGGGUACAGAAGGCAGCUACACGGCGACGUGAUGCUAAUCCCGAAAGCCUCUCUCAGUUCGGAUUGGAGUCUGCAACCCGACUCCAUGAAGCUGGAUUCGCUAGUAAUCGCGCAUCAGCCACGGCGCGGUGAAUACGUUCCCGGGCCUUGUACACACCGCCCGUCAAGCCAUGAAAGCCGGGGGUACCUGAAGUGCGUAACCGCAAGGAGCGCCCUAGGGUAAAACUGGUGAUUGGGGCU
rnacentral:rRNA from 1 species